CUGCUGGGCACAGCUAGGCGAUAGGAGUGGUGAUUCAAGAGAGAGAGAGAGAGGGGGAGGAGAGUCCUGGGGGGAAUCUCCAGGAGCUAGAGGGAGACCAAAACAAUGUCGGUGGCCCGCUAGACGGCCAGUGGUGCUCAAGUUGCUGUGACAACGUGGCCAUUAGCGACUAUCCGCUAACGAAAGAGAAGAGAAAUUAUAAUGGAGAUUUGAGUGGAGAAAAGGAGGAAAUGCAUUAGAUGAAUGGGAAUUUGAUUCUUUACUCUACGCGGUCAAGUCUUUACAGCAACAGGAAUAAUAAGGCCGGAUAACAGCGUCCCUCAGCCAAAUGAAGAAAAGUACGACUGCUGCACUGAAAAUCACGGCUACACUCCAUGAAACUCCAGCCGUAAUCAUGAUGUACGUAAAUAGUGCGAAGCUGUUUACAGUGUAAUUACGCUGGUGCAUCGUGGACAUUGAAUUCUCAAUCUCCUGAUUUUUCACUUGAAAAAUAGUGGAAGCAAGCACAACUUUCUACGGGAACAUUCACCCUGAGAUCAACAGCCUCUCUUCCUCUCGUUAUUGAAUCCCUGCCUGAUAUUGAAAAUUUACCGUUUCAUCUGCCUUCGUGCACGAUCUGUUGUGGCUGCCGGCUCUUUAUGAAAAUAUGUUCGUGUACCGAGGACACAUGCCUCGAAGUACUGACUCCAGUUGAUGAGACGUGGGUCCAUGGGAUGAGCAUCUCCUUCAUCGAGGACAAGAGCAUCCUGGAGGGAUUGGAUAUUACGACGAUCGAAUUUCCAUUUGUGGGUCGAAAAAAAUGAUGUGUAGGAGUUGCCCUUGAGGUACUUCUGCUGCACUUGGUAAACCCUGGAGAAUAUUGUCGGUUAACCACAGGAGAAUAUUUCACAAGAAAACCAGCAACGAAUUUGUUAACAAAUUUUGUUGGAUUACGUUGUGAUAAAAAUACUAUAUUUCGAGCUGAGGAAAAGGAUUAUGAGAAUGUCUUUGAUGCAAAAUGCCGAGCCAAAGUCCAUCAGCAAAUAAUAUUCAUCUUUGACGUUAUGAAAUAUGUAAAACGGUCAAUGUCACAUACGGAGAAGGUCAAGAGUAACGGAGGACUCACAAAUGCUUUUUCUCGGGGUUCGACAAGCGAAAAAUGCAGUCGAUGAUAAAGGCAGGAAAUAUCUGAAAAAUGUAGAUGACUAAAAUGUUCCUUAAGUGACUCUCUCUGGUCCUAGCUGUUGGAUACCACAGGGCAUUCUCGCAGGGAUGAGCUCGACAGGCUUUGACAACCUCCUCGCAAUAUUCAUCCCAGGUUGUCGGGUUUAUCGUGUUGGAGGUACAGUGGAAAAUGUGGAGGUCCUGGGGUUCUUGCUGGGCUCUCUCGGAGGCUGCCAGAAUUGUCGAGACCACCAUGUCCACGGGGAUCACAUCAAGGAGGGUAUUGGGGGUCGCCUGAAAUCUGAAUGGUGGAUAUUCCCGCGAGUUUUGAAUUUGCAUUUGGAGAUUUUAAAUGAGUGGAAUGUACAGACGUGCGAAAUAAUCCCUUUCCAAUACCAGCGAUGAAUCCACAAGCGCUAUUAUUGACGUUAUCCACCCAACCGACAGUUGGUUGUCUCCAGCUAUUCAAUACAAUGCUCGGCCUCACGAUCGAAAGGGGUACAUUUUCCCGCUCUAGAGCUAAUAAAUUUUCAGCCAUUUGUUUGGUAAAUGUGUGUAAAAUUUUGCAAACACCUAGAAGUUUCCACCGAAGGCAAACAAAUGCUGACGGACCUCUCCUGACGUUUGAAAUGGAGAUGACAGUUGUGACCACUGUGUGUCAUAAGUCAAUGAUACUUUGUACUCACCAUGUCA